CACGUGGACAACCUGCCCUUGAGGACGGGGAUAAACCCGGGAAACUGGGUAUAAUACCCGAUAGAUCUCGGCUGCUGGAAUGCACCGAGUUCUAAAGCUCCGGCGCUCAAGGAUGGAUCUGCGGCCUAUCAGGUAGUAGUGGGUGUAGCGUACCUACUAGCCUACGACGGGUACGGGUUGUGAGAGCAAGAGCCCGGAGAUGGAUUCUGAGACACGAAUCCAGGCCCUACGGGGUGCAGCAGGCGCGAAAACUUUACAAUGCUGGAAACAGCGAUAAGGGGACCUCGAGUGCCAGGUUACAAAUCUGGCUGUCGUGAUGCCUAAAAAGCAUUGCAUAGCAAGGGCCGGGCAAGACCGGUGCCAGCCGCCGCGGUAACACCGGCGGCUCGAGUGGUAACCGUUAUUAUUGGGUCUAAAGGGUCUGUAGCCGGCCGGAUAAGUCUCUUGGGAAAUCUGGCAGCUUAACUGUCAGGCUUUCAGGAGAUACUGUCUGGCUCGAGGCCGGGAGAGGUGAGAGGUACUUCAGGGGUAGGGGUGAAAUCUUGUAAUCCUUGAAGGACCACCAGUGGCGAAGGCGUCUCACCAGAACGGACCUGACGGCAAGGGACGAAAGCUAGGGGCACGAACCGGAUUAGAUACCCGGGUAGUCCUAGCCGUAAACGAUACUCGCUAGGUGUCGGCCACGGUGCGACCGUUGUCGGUGCCGUAGGGAAGCCGUGAAGCGAGCCACCUGGGAAGUACGGCCGCAAGGCUGAAACUUAAAGGAAUUGGCGGGGGAGCACCACAACGGGUGGAGCUUGCGGUUUAAUUGGAUUCAACGCCGGAAAUCUUACCGGGACCGACAGCAAUAUGAAGGCCAGGCUGAAGACUUUGCCGGAUUAGCU
rnacentral:rRNA from 1 species